rnacentral:rRNA from 1 species
GACGUAGGGUGCGAGCGUUGUCCGGAUUUAUUGGGCGUAAAGAGCUCGUAGGCGGCUUGUCGCGUCGACCGUGAAAACUCGGGGCUUAACCCCGAGCCUGCAGUGGAUACGGGCAGACUAGAGGUAGGUAGGGGAGAAUGGAAUUCCUGGUGUAGCGGUGAAAUGCGCAGAUAUCGGGAGGAACACCGGUGGCGAAGGCGGUUCUCUGGGCCUUACCUGACGCUGAGGAGCGAAAGCGUGGGGAGCGAACAGG